rnacentral:rRNA from 1 species
AUGGCUGCGACGGCGGCGGCGGCGGCGGCUGCUGCUGCGGCUCACCUGCUCACCUCCCCACCUGUCGCGUCUCCGCGGCCCGUACCUCGCCGUCACCGCCGCACCGGGGCCGCCAGGCGCCUCUCCUGCCGCGCGUCGCUGGGCCCCGACGCCCCCCUACCCGCGCUCGCCGUCCCCAGGCCGUCGCCCGCUCGGGGGAGGACGUACCUGCGGGAGCACUCCUGCCUCCUCUUCCCACCCCCGCGCGGCGCCCGCCCGCUCGCCGUCGUCAAGUUCCUCGGCGGCGCCUUCAUCGGCGCCGCCCCCGAGGCCACCUACGGCUACCUGCUGGAGCUCCUGGCGCAGGAGGGGUUCCUCGUGGUGUGCGUCCCGUACAACGUCACCUUCGACCACGCGGCCGCCGCGCGGGAGGUCUUCGAGAGGUUCCACGGCUGCUACGACGCGCUCCGAGCGUCGGGCCUGCCGGAGGCCGGGCUAGGCGCUCUGGACAUCGCGCGCCUCCCGCUCUACUCCGUUGGUCACAGUAACGGCGCGCUGCUUCAGCUGCUGGUUGGGAGCUACUUCUCAGAAAAGAUACCAAAGGCUAAUGCGAUUGUCUCAUUCAACAAUAGGCCCGCUUCAGAGGCUGUUCCUUACUUUGAGCAGAUAGGCCCCCUCAUUAGUCAACUAACACCUAUGAUGGAGACAUCACCUGUAUACUCUGCGGCAAGAGAUGCAUCAGGGAAUGCGUGGAAGGCCCUAUUUGAUUUAGCUGGAGGUUUGAUACGGGAGUACGAUCGAGAAGCUAUGGUAUCCGUAAGCAAAUUUGUCGAUCAGUUACCAUCAGUAAUGAAUCAGGUUACAGAAGGUGUAUCUGAAUUCAAACCAACACCACCUGAGAACCGUGAAUUCUGCAAGAAUUCUUACAGUGUAGCUAAUACAUUAUUGGUCAAAUUCAGCGUUGAUGCUAUUGAUGAUACAGACAUAAUUGAGGACAUCUUGAGACCUCGGGUAGACUCAAUUGGUGGACAAAUAAAGAAGGUCGUACUGUCAGGAACACAUCUAACUCCGUGUAUACAGGAUGUUAAAUGGCAGGUUGGUUCAGAAUACACUCCAGCGGAUGCUCUGGCGCAGGGCUUAAAAUCAUUGGCUCUCAAUGAGACCAGGGUCCUCUCAAGAACUAUCGCUGACUACUUCAGAUCCCUUUAG